AUUGCGAUGGGGGGACGGAGCAGGCUAAACAAGCAUGGCGUUGGUAGUCCAUGUGAAAGUGAGUAGGUUGGCGACUUAGGUAAAUCCGGGUUGCUGUUAAGACUGAGACACGAGACGAGUCACUACGGUGAUGAAGUUGUUGAUGCCAUACUUCCAGGAAAAGCCUCUAAGCUUCAGAUUAUAUGGAAUCGUACCCCAAACCGACACAGGUGGUCAGGUAG
rnacentral:rRNA from 1 species